GUUUUGCCUUCCAGGUGUGUGUUUCCCUACUACUGUCCCCCAGGCAGUGCCCAUCCACUGCCUUGUGAAGGAGGGUACAUGGCCCUCAACUUGCCUGGUCCAAGGGAUUCAUUUGAGAAAUUCUGCAGAAUCUGUGAUGCAGGCACCUACCGUAGUGACUCCCUUAUCACGGCGCCCUGUCAGCCCUGCCCAGCAGGCUUCAUCUGCCCACAAGGCAGUGAGAGUUACCACAAGAAGCCUUGCCCCAGUGGCCAUUACUGCCCUCCCCUGGCAUCUGCCCCUCUGCCCUGUCCCCCGGGAACCCACGGGAGCAGCACCUUCGCAAAGCACUUAGAGGAUUGCCAGCCCUGUCCUGCCGGUACCUUCAACCAUCUUCCUGCUCAGGCUGCCUGUUUCCCCUGCGGCAGCUCUUCUUCCUCCCAGCCUGGUGCUACCAGCUGUACCUGCCGUGGGCUGAACCGGGCUUUCCAGCAGUCAGAUGCCUCCUGUAUCUGCCAGGCUGGGUACGUUUACUACGAUGAGAGAGGCAAGAAAGACCCUGAUGGCAACAGCGAUCAGGACUGCCGACCUCAGGUAAAGCCUGGCUUCAAAACAAAGUUGUGUGACCCA
rnacentral:lncRNA from 1 species